AUUAGAUUUGAAACACAUCUUAUGAUGAAAAAUUUAAUUUAUAUAUAUUUUUUUAUUUUUUAUACAUAAAAUUUAAGCAAAAAUCAAGCAAAAACAUCCAAAAAUCCAUUUUAAAAAACCUUUGAUGCAUGGUAGACUGAUCGCUCGAUCCAUAGAAUCAGCCAUGCGGUCCACAAAAAAUUUCCUCCGAUCCACGUCACGGC
rnacentral:lncRNA from 1 species